rnacentral:rRNA from 1 species
AGAGUUUGAUUCUGGCUCAGGAUGAACGCUGGCGGCGUGCUUAACACAUGCAAGUCGAACGAACCUUCGGGUUAGUGGCGGACGGGUGAGUAACGCGUGGGAAUCUGCCCUCAGGAGGGGGAUAACGGCUGGAAACGGCCGCUAAUACCCCAUAUGCCGAGAGGUGAAAUGAAUUUCGCCUGAGGAUGAGCCCGCGUCUGAUUAGCUAGUUGGUGAGGUAAGAGCUCACCAAGGCAUCGAUCAGUAGCUGGUCUGAGAGGAUGAUCAGCCACACUGGGACUGAGACACGGCCCAGACUCCUACGGGAGGCAGCAGUGGGGAAUUUUCCGCAAUGGGCGAAAGCCUGACGGAGCAACGCCGCNUGAGGGAUGAAGGCCUCUGGGCUGUAAACCUCUUUUCUCAAGGAAGAAGAUCUGACGGUACUGAG